GCGGCCUCUUCCUCGCGGUCCAGCGCGCGCUCCAGCACCAGCUCCGGGUACUUAAUACCGUCCGCUCCGCUUUGCACGUCCAGGGAGAAAAUCUCUAGAUUUACUUGACACUGGAUGGCCCCCAAACAGAGCUCCUCCCGGUCUAUCCUGCCCGCGGUGACCAGGCUGCCGCUCCGCGGGUUCAGCGCGAAGAGCUGCGUCCUGCCUCUGGAGACGAUGCGGACCCCGCGCCCCGCCAGCUCCCGGGGCGCCAGCCCCAGGAUCCCCAGGACGACUCCCAGCAGGACCAGCGCUUUGCAGUCUUGAUGCAGUGGCGGAGGAAUCAUUGUCACUUUUCUCCAGGAUUAUCUCCAAUUCUGCCCUUGACCACCGAGGCGCGUGAAAGGCGAGCAGGAUCGCUGCUUUGCUCUCCCGGAUUGGUGAACAGCGGCGCUCAGAGUCCUAACCAAUUACUGCACAAUCUUGAACUCCGGGAAGGGAUAUUUGGUUUUUAUACCUUAAAUAGCUCCACCUACUGUUCUUCAAAAAGGGAUGGAAAUCCACAGCAUUUGUUUUAGUGCAAACUUCAGUAA